CGUAAAGCAACCUGCCCCAAAGACCGGGACAACAGUGGGAAACCGCUGCUAAUACCGGAUGUGUCCACCUUUUCGCAUGGAUGAGGUGAGUAAAGCGAAGCAAUUCGGCUUUGGGAGGGGCUUGCGGCCUAUCAGCUAGAUGGCGGGGUAGUGGCUCACCAUGGCGACGACGGGUAGCUGGUCUGAGAGGAUGGUCAGCCGGACUGGGACUGAGAUACGGCCCAG
rnacentral:rRNA from 1 species